ACGCUCGACACCUACUGGAGGCAGCAGUCGGGAAUAUUGCGCAAUGGAGGAAACUCUGACGCAGUGACGCCGCGUGCAGGAAGAAGGUUUUCGGAUUGUAAACUGCUUUAGACAGGGAAGAACAAAUGACAGUACCUGUAGAAUAAGCUCCGGCUAACUACGUGCAGCAGCCGCGGUAAUCUGAGGCGGGCUGGACGAAGGC
rnacentral:rRNA from 1 species